rnacentral:rRNA from 1 species
UGAUAACGCGUGAGAACCUGCCUCAAGGUCGGGGACAACAGUUGGAAACGACUGCUAAUACCGGAUGAGCCGAAUAGGUAAAAGAUUUAUCGCCUAGAGAGGGGCUCGCGUCUGAUUAGCUAGAUGGUGAGGUAAAGGCUUACCAUGGCGACGAUCAGUAGCUGGUCUGAGAGGAUGAGCAGCCACACUGGGACUGAGACACGGCCCAGACUCCUACGGGAGGCAGCAGUGGGGAAUUUUCCGCAAUGGGCGAAAGCCUGACGGAGCAAUACCGCGUGAGGGAGGAAGGCUCUUGGGUUGUAAACCUCAAAACUUAGGGAAGAAAAAAAUGACGGUACCUAAUGUAAGCAUCGGCUAACUCCGUGCCAGCAGCCGCGGUAAUACGGAGGAUGCAAGCGUUAUCCGGAAUCAUUGGGCGUAAAGAGUCCGUAGGUGGCACUUCAAGUCUGCUUUCAAAGACCGAAGCUCAACUUCGGAAAGGGAGUGGAAACUGAAGAGCUAGAGUAUAGUAGGGGUAGAGGGAAUUCCUAGUGUAGCGGUGAAAUGCGUAGAGAUUAGGAAGAACACCAGUGGCGAAGGCGCUCUACUGGGCAUAUACUGACACUGAGGGACGAAAAGCCAAAAAGU